GACGAACGUUUGCGGCGUGCUUAACACAUGCAAGUCGAACGGAAAGGCCCUGCUUUUGUGGGGUGCUCGAGUGGCGAACGGGUGAGUAACACGUGAGUAACCUGCCCUUGACUUUGGGAUAACUUCAGGAAACUGGGGCUAAUACCGGAUAGGAGCUCCUGCUGCAUGGUGGGGGUUGGAAAGUUUCGGCGGUUGGGGAUGGACUCGCGGCUUAUCAGCUUGUUGGUGGGGUAGUGGCUUACCAAGGCUUUGACGGGUAGCCGGCCUGAGAGGGUGACCGGCCACAUUGGGACUGAGAUACGGCCCAGACUCCUACGGGAGGCAGCAGUGGGGAAUAUUGCACAAUGGGCGGAAGCCUGAUGCAGCAACGCCGCGUGCGGGAUGACGGCCUUCGGGUUGUAAACCGCUUUCGCCUGUGACGAAGCGUGAGUGACGGUAAUGGGUAAAGAAGCACCGGCUAACUACGUGCCAGCAGCCGCGGUGAUACGUAGGGUGCGAGCGUUGUCCGGAUUUAUUGGGCGUAAAGGGCUCGUAGGUGGUUGAUCGCGUCGGAAGUGUAGUCUUGGGGCUUAACCCUGAGCGUGCUUUCGAUACGGGUUGACUUGAGGAAGGUAGGGGAGAAUGGAAUUCCUGGUGGAGCGGUGGAAUGCGCAGAUAUCAGGAGGAACACCAGUGGCGAAGGCGGUUCUCUGGGCCUUUCCUGACGCUGAGGAGCGAAAGCGUGGGGAGCGAACAGGCUUAGAUACCCUGGUAGUCCACGCUGUAAACGGUGGGUACUAGGUGUGGGGUCCAUUCCACGGGUUCCGUGCCGUAGCUAACGCUUUAAGUACCCCGCCUGGGGAGUACGGCCGCAAGGCUAAAACUCAAAGGAAUUGACGGGGCCCCGCACAAGCGGCGGAGCAUGCGGAUUAAUUCGAUGCAACGCGUAGAACCUUACCUGGGUUUGACAUGGAUCGGGAGUGCUCAGAGAUGGGUGUGCCUCUUUUGGGGUCGGUUCACAGGUGGUGCAUGGCUGUCGUCAGCUCGUGUCGUGAGAUGUUGGGUUAAGUCCCGCAACGAGCGCAACCCUUGUUCACUGUUGCCAGCACGUUAUGGUGGGGACUCAGUGGAGACCGCCGGGGUCAACUCGGAGGAAGGUGGGGAUGACGUCAAGUCAUCAUGCCCCUUAUGUCCAGGGCUUCACGCAUGCUACAAUGGCUGGUACAGAGAGUGGCGAGCCUGUGAGGGUGAGCGAAUCUCGGAAAGCCGGUCUCAGUUCGGAUUGGGGUCUGCAACUCGACCUCAUGAAGUCGGAGUCGCUAGUAAUCGCAGAUCAGCAACGCUGCGGUGAAUACGUUCCCGGGGCU
rnacentral:rRNA from 1 species